rnacentral:rRNA from 1 species
UAGCAUAGGUAUGCUUAGGGAGGAGCUUGCGUCACAUUAGUUAGUUGGUGGGGUAAAGGCCUACCAAGACUAUGAUGUGUAGCCGGGCUGAGAGGUUGAACGGCCACAUUGGGACUGAGACACGGCCCAAACUCCUACGGGAGGCAGCAGUAGGGAAUUUUCGGCAAUGGAGGAAACUCUGACCGAGCAACGCCGCGUGAACGAUGAAGUAUUUCGGUACGUAAAGUUCUUUUAUUAGGGAAGAAUAAAUGAUGGAAAAAUCAUUCUGACGGUACCUAAUGAAUAAGCCCCGGCUAACUAUGUGCCAGCAGCCGCGGUAAUACAUAGGGGGCAAGCGUUAUCCGGAAUUAUUGGGCGUAAAGGGUGCGUAGGCGGUUAAAUAAGUUUAUGGUCUAAGUGCAAUGCUCAACAUUGUGAUGCUAUAAAAACUGUUUAGCUAGAGUAAGAUAGAGGCAAGUGGAAUUCCAUGUGUAGUGGUAAAAUGCGUAAAUAUAUGGAGGAACACCAGUAGCGAAGGCGGCUUGCUGGGUCUUUACUGACGCUGAGGCACGAAAGCGUGGGGAGCAAACAGGAUUAGAUACCCUGGUAGUCCACGCCGUAAACGAUGAGUACUAAACGUUGGGUAAAACCAGUGUUGAAGUUAACACAUUAAGUACUCCGCCUGAGUAGUACGUACGCAAGUAUGAAACUUAAAGGAAUUGACGGGACUCCGCACAAGCGGUGGAUCAUGUUGUUUAAUUCGAAGGUACCCGAAAAACCUCACCAGGUCUUGACAUGCUUCUGCAAAGCUGUAGAAACACAGUGGAGGUUAUCAGUUGCACAGGUGGUGCAUGGUUGUCGUCAGCUCGUGUCGUGAGAUGUUGGGUUAAGUCCCGCAACGAGCGCAACCCUUAUUGUUAGUUACCAGCACGUAAUGGUGGGGACUUUAGCAAGACUGCCAGUGAUGAAUUGGAGGAAGGUGGGGACGACGUCAAAUCAUCAUGCCCCUUAUGACCUGGGCUACAAACGUGAUACAAUGGCUGUUACAAAGGGUAGCUGAAGCGCAAGUUUUUGGCGAAUCUCAAAAAAACAGUCUCAGUUCGGAUUGAAGUCUGCAACUCGACUUCAUGAAGUUGGAAUCGCUAGUAAUCGCG